rnacentral:rRNA from 1 species
UGGGGAAUAUUGGACAAUGGGCGCAAGCCUGAUCCAGCCAUGCCGCGUGAGUGACGAAGGCCUUAGGGUUGUAAAGCUCUUUUGGCGGGGAAGAUAAUGACGGUACCCGCAGAAUAAGCUCCGGCUAACUUCGUGCCAGCAGCCGCGGUAAUACGAAGGGAGCUAGCGUUGUUCGGAAUCACUGGGCGUAAAGCGCACGUAGGUGGGCAGUUAAGUCAGGGGUGAAAGCCCGAGGCUCAACCUCGGAAUUGCCUCUGAUACUGGCUGUCUAGAGUUCGAGAGAGGUGGGUGGAAUUCCUAGUGUAGAGGUGAAAUUCGUAGAUAUUAGGAAGAACACCGGUGGCGAAGGCGGCCCACUGGAUCGGUACUGACGCUGAGGUGCGAAAGCGUGGGGAGCAAACAGGAUUAGAUACCCAGGUAGUCCCUGAGCGGGCUGGCAAGGCGCAU